AGCUGAGCAGGAGGACUCUCUCUCUCUAUCUCAACUCAGAGAACAGAUUUAAAAGCAGCAGCCACCAAAAGCAAAAAAAGAGGUCAUUAUCAAGGAUGCAAGAGUCUGAACAAAGGAACCUUUAUAUGCAAACGCUGUGCUCUACCACUAAGCCGCAGACCUUUCAGGGGAACGGAAAAUCCAAUGGAGAAGAAGAAGAAGGAAAUCCAAUGGAACAGAGUUUUUAAAAAGUGGUGUGUGUGUGUGUUCUAUUCCUCAGCUGCAUUUUUGACUUCAAACAAAUUAUUAUGUUACCGGA